rnacentral:rRNA from 1 species
AUUGAACGCUGGCGGCAUGCCUUACACAUGCAAGUCGAACAGCAGCGGACCUUCGGGUGCCGGCGAGUGGCGAACGGGUGAGUAAUGCAUCGGAACGUGCCAUUGAGUGGGGGAUAACGUAGCGAAAGUUGCGCUAAUACCGCAUAUUCUGUGAGCAGGAAAGCAGGGGACCGCAAGGCCUUGCGCUCUUUGAGCGGCCGAUGUCAGAUUAGCUAGUUGGUGAGGUAAAGGCUUACCAAGGCGACGAUCUGUAGCGGGUCUGAGAGGAUGAUCCGCCACACUGGAACUGAGACACGGUCCAGACUCCUACGGGAGGCAGCAGUGGGGAAUUUUGGACAAUGGGGGCAACCCUGAUCCAGCCAUGCCGCGUGAGUGAAGAAGGCCUUCGGGUUGUAAAGCUCUUUCGGCCGGGAAGAAAUCGCAUGGGUGAAUACCCUGUGUGGAUGACGGUACCGGAACAAGAAGCACCGGCUAACUACGUG